GCUACUGUAAUUUACUUAAUUUACUCAAGAAAAUUGAAUGAGGAUGUUACAUAAGACAUUCAAAAGGGGAACGUUCACCCACAUUAGUGUAAAUGGCUGCAAUAUGAAUCUAGAAGGUCUUCUUAGGGGGUUGAUUUUAUUUAUGAGAUUCAAUUUUGAACAGUUCUUAUAGUCUUUCAGUCGAUAUUCUACUCCACUGUGUGUUGAAGUGAUAAACAUGUAUGAAGGUUUGUUUCAAUCUUCUACAGGAAAAACCAGAAGAUCAUUGGAGCACAAACAGAACCUCGGGCAAUGAGCAUGGUUGGUCCAUCUGCUUUCUGUCUGUGUGUCAUGUUUGAUGUACUGUACUUUAAAGGCAGAAGAGAUCAAUUUUUUAAUUAAAAAAAAGCUUCUUAAGAUCAUUAUUAUUAUUUUUUUUACAUUUCAUUUCACCAAUAUGUCCAUGAAUGACCUGUAAUGCAGUGAGACCUUUUAAAACAGUAUACAUUUUUCUCUGUGUGUUUUGGUUUAUUUCCUUGUUGCUUUAAACUUCAUGUCACCACCAGUUCCUGAUAGGCCACAUACCAGGAGUUACACCAUGGUGCAGCCACAGCUAUCCACAGUAUAUUCUCACAACAGAGCUGAAUCACAUGGAUACUUUAGCCAGGGAAUGAUACCGCAGCUUUCAGAUGCACCAGUCUUCUCAGGUAGCCCUUCAGGGUCAGUGAAUCUGGACUCCUCAUUGUUCCUAUCAACGUUUCGUGAUUCUGGACUUUGGGAGGAACUAACCAUGCAGUUUCCAUCCCUACAACAGCCCAUAACAGUCUUGAAAGACCAUGAAACACAAGACACAGAAGAUCAAACAAAUGUCAAGUCUUCUCCAUGGUUGGAGCCUAGUAAUGAACAUCUAUAUGAAAGCAUUGGAAUUGGACGUGUCAGUGAGCCCAGUUCCAGCCACCAAGCUCCUGAAGACCAGCAGAGUGAGAAUAGUGAGGACCCCUAUGAAACAGUGAGAGAUCCCAGGGACCCUGCUGCAGGUCAUGUGUGCAAAUCUUCUGCUGUAAUGGACAACAAAGUGACCGAUAAUCCAGGACAGAUUUUUCAGCCUUUCCCAGCAAGGCAAGACAGUAAAGGUUUGGUUGGUUCUGAAAUAACGGACGUCUACGCAGCAGUGAACUUCAAAAAGAAAAGCCUGAAAAUCAAAGAACUCCCCGUUUCAUCAGACACCAUAGCGCAGGCUGAGGAUGACAUAGAUGAGGAGCCAGCACCUCCUGUUCCAGAAAAAAUGUUUGAAACGGACUGUCUCUAACUUAUAUGAUGUUUGAUAUCAUGUCUCAUGCACUUUAUCAAAAAAAGUUAAAGGGCUAAUAUUAUGUAAUCAUUGUGUAAACUAAUAAAAAGAAUGAUUAUCAUCA
rnacentral:lncRNA from 1 species